CAGGCUCCUCCUGGUUGCCAGCCUGGCGGCUCUGCUGCUGGGGGAGGCAGACUCGGCUUCCAAGCCCCAGGUCCUCAUCAAGACCAAAGGCAAAGUUGGGGCCCCUGAGCAGGACACAGAGGAGCCCUGGGGCGUCCCUUCUCUGGGAAGGGACGACGAGCUCAUGGGGCUGCCCAGCUGGGACCCGGAGCCUGACCGUGACAGCCUGUACCACCCACCACCCGAGGAGGCCCAGGCCGAGGCAGGGCUCCGUUCUUGGUCACUGCCACCUCACCAGGAGCUUCAGGGGCCAGAGGAGGAUCGAGACCACAUCUACCACCCCAGGGACGACUCCUGACCCCUGACCCCACCCCAACUGGAAAAAUAAACCUUGCAGAUGUGGAUCCCACGCGUCUUCAGGAACAGUGACCAUGGCCCUAGCCUGCUCUGUCUGGGAGAAAGGGGCCUGUGUCCUCCUGGGGCCAUAGGUUUGUCCUUACACGUCGAGAGGCCCCCGAGGCUCCUCCAACCCAGCACCCAGGCUCCUGGAAUGAUCUCCUCUCAGGCCUCCC